rnacentral:misc_RNA from 1 species
GUAGGUGAACCUGCGGAAGGAUCAUUAAUGAAACUUCAAAGUCGGCUCUGUUCUGUGCUGGUGUUCACUCACAUGUGCACGUUUGGGUCGCAAAUCCACACACCUGUGCAUCUUAUGACUCUGAGCACCGCUUUGCAUGGUCGAAAGACCUGUUGCUCGAGUAACUUUUACACACUCUGAAUGUAAUGGAAUGUCUUUUUGUGCAUAAUGUACAACUAAAACAACUUUCAACAACGGAUCUCUUGGCUCU